rnacentral:rRNA from 1 species
UACGUAGGGGGCUAGCGUUGUCCGGAAUCAUUGGGCGUAAAGAGCGUGUAGGCGGCCCGGUAAGUCCGCUGUAAAAGUCAAAGGCUCAACCUUUGAAUGUCAGUGGAUACUGCCGGCCUAGAGUCCGGAAGAGGCGAGUGGAACUCCUGGUGUAGCGGUGGAAUGCGCAGAUAUCAGGAAGAACACCAACGGCGAAGGCAGCUCGCUAGGACGGUACUGACGCUGUGGAGCGAAAGCAUGGGGAGCGAACAGG